rnacentral:rRNA from 1 species
UACGUAGGGUGCGAGCGUUAAUCGGAAUUACUGGGCGUAAAGCGUGCGCAGGCGGUUAUUUAAGUCAGAUGUGAAAGCCCUGGGCUUAACCUAGGAAUUGCGCUUUGAGACUGGAUAGCUUGGAGUGCGGCAGAGGGAGGUGGAAUUCCACGUGUAGCAGUGAAAAUGCGUAGAGAUGUGGAGGAACACCGAUGGCGAAGGCAGCCUCCUGG